AUCGCUUCUCGGCCUUUUGGCUAAGAUCAUGUGUAGUAUCUGUUCUUUUCAGCUUAAUAUCUGAAACGCGACUCACCGCGUCGCUUGUAUAUUAAACUGAUUUUUGAACUUAGGCCAUGGAAUAGGGGCUUGCUCCGUCCUGGCCACGGGUGGCCCGGUAUUGCAGUACCUCCGGGAUCGGCCCACCCCUC